AUGCUCAAAAUAGAUCUUGCCAAAGCUUUUGAUAGACUCGAGUGGAAUUUCAUUGUUGCUGCUCUUGCUCGUAAAGGGCUGCACGCUCAUUUUAUUAAUUUAGUCCACUCGUGUUCGCCGACUUUUUCUGUUGUCAUUAGUGGUCAACCGUUUGCGAGAUUCAGAGGAGAUAGAGGUGUUCGGCAAGGUUGUCCCCUGUCCCCAUACCUUUUUGUCCUAGCAAUCAAUGAACUUUCAAUUGCUCUACAAGAGGCCAUGGCAGCUAACUGUUUUGAAGGUAUAACUCUGGGACCAAAUUGCCCUGCUACCCACUCUCUCCUUUUUGCAGAUGAUCUACUUGUUUGUGGAAAGGCUACAGUACAAGAGCAACUAGAAUGA
rnacentral:rRNA from 1 species